rnacentral:lncRNA from 1 species
CCCUUGUUAGGUUUGCUAAAAAAAUGGAUUAUUUACUCUGAUUAUAUUUGGAUUUUGGGUCAUUAAACUGGCAAUUUACAACUUCUAUCAAAAGAUUAAUUGUGUUCUUUUUGAAGGAUCGUUUGAUGUUCUAGCCUCUGCUGGUUUACUGUAAGUUCCAGAGGGUAUUACAAACCUAGUGACCAGUGCUUUUGUACUGUCAUGAUAUGACUUUGAUAUUGAUAUUUGUCAAAAAAUUGUCAGUUAGUAUUUAAUAGUUAGCAUGACGAUGAAAGUUUUGUUAAAUUCUAUGGUCAUCCUCCUGUUUCACACUUGGUAUCACAUGUU